rnacentral:rRNA from 1 species
GUGUCAGCCGCCGCGGUAAUACGGAGGGGGUUAGCGUUGUUCGGAAUUACUGGGCGUAAAGCGCGCGUAGGCGGAUUGGAAAGUUGGGGGUGAAAUCCCGGGGCUCAACCCCGGAACUGCCUCCAAAACUUCCAGUCUGGAGUUCGAGAGAGGUGAGUGGAAUUCCGAGUGUAGAGGUGAAAUUCGUAGAUAUUCGGAAGAACACCAGUGGCGAAGGCGGCUCACUGGCGCAUUUCUGACGCUGAGGCGCGAAAGCGGGGGGAGCAAACAGGAUUAGAUACCCUGGUAGUCCACGCCGUAAACGAUGAGGGCGAGUUGUCGGGCGGCUUGCCGUUCGGUGACGCAGCUAACGCAUUAAGCCCUCCGCCUGGGGAGUACGGCCGCAAGGUUAAAACUUAAAUGAAUUGACGGGG